rnacentral:rRNA from 1 species
AUUGAACGCUGGCGGCAGGCCUAACACAUGCAAGUCGAACGGUAACAGGAAGAAGCUUGCUUCUUUGCUGACGAGUGGCGGACGGGUGAGUAAUGUCUGGGAAACUGCCUGAUGGAGGGGGAUAACUACUGGAAACGGUAGCUAAUACCGCAUAACGUCGCAAGACCAAAGAGGGGGACCUUCGGGCCUCUUGCCAUCGGAUGUGCCCAGAUGGGAUUAGCUAGUAGGUGGUGUAACGGCUCACCUAGGCGACGAUCCCUAGCUGGUCUGAGAGGAUGACCAGCCACACUGGAACUGAGACACGGUCCAGACUCCUACGGGAGGCAGCAGUGGGGAAUAUUGCACAAUGGGCGCAAGCCUGAUGCAGCCAUGCCGCGUGUAUGAAGAAGGCCUUCGGGUUGUAAAGUACCUUCAGCGGGGAGGAAGGGAGUAAAGUUAAUACCUUUGCUCAUUGACGUUACCCGCAGAAGAAGCACCGGCUAACUCCGUG